rnacentral:rRNA from 1 species
UAAUACGGAGGGGGCAAGCGUUGCUCGGAAUUACUGGGCGUAAAGGGUCCGUAGGUGGUUUCGCAAGUUAGAUGUGAAAGCUUAGGGCUUAACCCUGAAAUUGCAUCUAAAACUACGAGACUUGAGUUCGGAAGAGGUUGGCGGUAUUCCCGGUGUAGCGGUGAAAUGCGUAGAUAUCGGGAGGAACACCAGUGGCGUAGGCGGCCAACUGGUCCGACACUGACACUGAGGGACGAAAGCGUGGGUAGCGAACGGGAUUAGAUACCCCGGUAGUCCACGCCCUAAACGAUGGAUGCUAGGUGUGGGGGCGUAUGUCUCCGUGCCGCAGUUAACACAAUAAGCAUCCCGCCUGGGGAGUACGGUCGCAAGAUUG